UUUUUUUUUUUCUCCUUAACAUUUUGUUUGAUUUUACAAAAAUAUAGUAUCUUCGAAGUACGCCUCUUGAUGUGAGAUUGGCAUCGGUGAGGAGUUUUUAUUUGUUAAUUUUGAAUAUUUGCUGGGUUAGUUCCUUUCAAAUAAAAGAGACCAUUGGUCCGAUCAUGAAACUGUUUUGGGAUUUUUUGCUUACCGAAAAAAAUUGGUACUUCAUUUUAAAAUUUUUUGUUUUUAUUAUUAUUUUGAUUCCAUGAUGUUGUUCCUCGGCUUGCUUCUUGAACAUUGUAUUUGACUAAAUAAAUGUUUGUUGUCACAUAGAAAAUGUUUUGAAAUUGAAAUUUUCGUUUCUUUAAUUUUUUUUAAUUGAUUUAUUUAAAUUUGUUUGUGGAAUACUUGAGAAUUUUGGCAAAACAAUUACUUUAUUUUUUAUUUUUGAAUGCUUUCUUAUUUUAAUAUUAUUGCAGCUUCAGUUCACUAUGUUGAGAAUAUGUUUUGCUUGCUGCCUUGAUAAUGACUUAUUUUCUGCAUAGAUGUUAGAACUGGGGAAUAGUUUGCAUGUUAUUUAAGCUGCCUUGGGAAUGCAUGUCAAAAAAUGUUGAAACUGAAAGUUCGAGUUUU
rnacentral:lncRNA from 1 species